rnacentral:pre_miRNA from 1 species
UACCUACUCCCUCCGUUCGGAAUUACUUGUCUCGGAAAUGGAUGUAUCUAGAACUAAAAUACGUCUAGAUACAUCCAUUUCUGCGACAAGUAAUUCCGAACGGAGGGAGUAACUA